CUUUGCCGAAGCCGGCAUUCACUUGUACUCUCGCUGUACAGAAAUUCCUUAAUUCGGCUCCAUCUGCGUACGCUGUGACCGGAGCCUGUUGCACCUGUUCAACCUCCGCUCCAGCCUUUGGACCACAGGCGGUUGAUGUGAAUGCCAUGUGUCCCUCCAAUAACCAAAGCAAGAAUGGAGCCGGUGUCAUGGGUGGCCGAGAGAACCGGAACGGCAGGACCCACGUGCGGAGUUGUUCAAUUGGAUGCAGGGGAUCAGACAAGUUCUCGGUGUCGGGGACAGGUGAAUGGUCGGUCGAUCGGUGGUCGGGAUCAGAGCGGGGAUCCAUGGGCGAAGUCAGGAGAGAAAGCGAAGAGUCAGUCGAUCGGCGGUCGGCGUUGAAACGAAGAUCCGCGGACGUGGUCGGGAGACAAGGCAAAGGGACGAAAACCAGAGGACGAGAACUGAGAACGAGGGUUGAGUGUGCACUGGACGUCACGAAGGAGGGCGGUUGUCUUUGACGAGAUUCCACAAAGGUCUGGGAGCUGAGGAGGGUCUUUAAAAAGGGUGCGUAGUUAAUCAGGUGCUGGAGCAGAGUCAGGUGCUGUCGGUUUAGUUGUGGGGGUGGACAUGACAGUUGGAGAGAGGAAAAGUGACCCCACUAUUGUUGUUCUUUAAAUCUCAUUUCCUUGGUGUGUAAGAUCAUGAAAUGUUCAAUCAUAGGUGUGAAAAAGUAAUCGCAGUCUACUGGCUGUGUCACCUUUAGCUGCUAUGACUGCAACUAACCUCUUCCUGUAGCUGUUGACCAGGGUCUCUCACCGCUGCGGUGGAACUUGAGCCCGCUGCUCCAUGCAAAACUGCUUCAGCUAGCAAUAUUUGUAGGUUUCCAAGAUGUCUAUCAUAUAUGGGAUUCUUUGAUGCAUUUGAGGUUAAGUGUAACAAGGAGCGGCACCGCACAA
rnacentral:lncRNA from 1 species